UGCUCAUCCCAGAGCACAUUUGGGGAAAAUGAUGCUGCACAAAAGCCCCAGAAACACCCGCUAGGUUGGGAGGCCUGGGAAAGCAACUCAGAACAUCCUGGGCAUCCCACGGCGCUGGCCUUUUUAGACUGCUUUUCUAAUCCCCAGGAGAGCACCCAGUAGUGGGAAAUGAGUACCCGUGAAUCACACAGAUGCUGUAUUUGACCUUAAAAUCAUCCCAGAUUCCGGAAGAAAGAGAUGGAAAUCAGCUUCUGAGGAAUAUGGGUUGGAGAAGCCCUCCACGCCUCAGGUCCUCUGCAUUUUGCUCCUGCCCUUUUGAGGAUUCACCUGGAAAAAGCCAUGCCCCACCCUUAUGAGAAUUUGGAGUUGGGGCUUCUUUCAGGAUAGAAGAACUGGGGACUAGAAGAGAAUACCUGGUGACUCCAAUAUGCAGCCGACAUUAAGAGCCACUGACAAAUGUCACGUAGAGAAUGACUGGUCCUCUCUGGGGAGGGGCUUCAGAAAAGCCGUUCUAUUUGGGACAGACCCAAAACAGGAGCAGCAUGGGGACAGAGGACAGAGUCUUCACAAGGGGGACAAAGAAGAGAGUGGGAAGAAAAGAGGAGUCACUGAGGGAAGCAAAGAUGGACGGGCUGAGCUCGAUUCUGCCCUCCCACAACCGUGGUGGUUCUCCUGGGAGGAUGCUUGGCCAUUUGUGCCUUUUGGAAGACAAGCCUGAAGACCACAAAAUAAGAAGAAGAAAGGCAGUACUGAAAGUGAGGGAAGCACCCAGGACAUAGGACUUGGCAAGAAAGCAGCUGUCUACAAGGGAGAGGCCUUCCCCACGAACCAAACAAGAGAUGCUGUAAUCCUGGACCAGCAGAAAAGUGACAGGUUUGGAGCUAGAUUCGACAGAAUUUGGGUGACUACACUCGGGAAGUGUGGAGGAGGUGUCAAAUAUAACUUCAAAGUUCCUAUCCUGGGCUUCCAAGGGGCUCCUCCUCAGAGCCAUCGAGGACCCACAACUCAGCAUCCUCAAGGAGAAAGGAAGGCCAUAGAAUCUUUUUCCAGCAAUUAAAUGCGCUGACUGAAAUCCUAAAUAUUACUUCUGCUCUCAAGUCAUUGGCCAGAACUAGUCACGUGGCCUCAUCGAACCAAAAGGGGCCAGGAAAUACAGUCUUCUUUUGUUCUACACAAAGUACAGAGCCAUAAAUAGUCCAGUGAAUUGCAUAAAUGACUAACAACUAACACAUAAUUGCUUAUUUGACACCAAGAAAAAAACAAAGAUUUCUAGAGUAAAGGAUUACCCCUCCCAGUGGUAUUUGUGAGUACUAUACAAUGAAGCUUCUUGUGUUCAAUUCCCUAACUACACAGGAAAGACCAGAUAAUGGGGAAAACGUGGAAACACUCCUCAAUUCAUGCCCUCUGUUUGGUUGUUUCACUCACUGUUCUCUUAGCAUAUCCAAUGUUAUAUAAAUCUGCGCCGAAGAGAAGAAGGUGGGGUGAGAAUGUGUAACAAGAGUUUGCUGAGCAAUUUCAGUUUGGUGGAGGGAGGUGAUGUGAUGCACAGGAAAAAGAACUGGAAAGCAAGUCAGAAACCUGUCAGGGGCAAUGAGCUAAUGACAUUAAACAAAAGACGCUCACCGCUAGCUGCUAGCUUUCUGGAAAUUCAUGAACAGAAGAGUCAGCAUGAAGAUCGCAGUAUUGCAUCAGCCUGAACAUGCUGUAGUUAAUGCAGAGUUCAAAGGAAAGAAACAUCUGAAUUUACGGGGGAAAGAGGCAUAAAUGAUGCACAGAGGCAGCGGUGGGAAAAGAACAGAGACAUUUGUUGUUUUGGGACUCAGGAGAACUGCUGAGCUUGAGCGGGAAGGCUCGCCGUGGUAACAAGUUGAGUUUCAAGAAAACGGAAGAGGAGACGAAUCAUGUUCUCGUGCCCUUGCACACGCUAUAAAAGUGCUAAUAAAGCCUAGCAGAGGAAUAAGCUCCUAAUGUCACCAGUGAUGUAGUGUUGAGGGUCCUUCGUUAGAGCCGAAAGCAGGAGGGAGGAAUCUCAAAGAUUUGUGUGUACCUCGGUUUGGCAAUUUCAGGGAAGUGGAGACUUAGGGUCACCCCACAUCCAAUCUCUCAGCCGGUUCUGCUGUUUCUACCUUGAACAUGCAACCAAAAAUAGAAUCUAUCUUACCACUUUCAGUUAAGCCCCUCUAAUCUCUUACCUGGAUUUUUACAGUAGCCUUCUAACUCAUCUGUUUAAAUCCUGGCCUCCAGACAUCAUUUUCUUUGAGGUCACCUUAAUGAUCUCUUAGAAUACAAUCAUUUCUCUUCCUGAAAUUCUUCAGUGACUUUGCGUUCUCCUCAGAGGAUUCCAAGGCCUUCCCCUCAUCUGGAAAACGCUGCAGCAGUGGGGGCAAACCUGUGGCAUGUGUGCUGCAGUGGGCUGUUUGUAUCAUUGAAAGCUCUAGAAGGUUUGCCCUAGCCGCUCUACAGGAUCCAGUCCUCUGAAUCUGGGGCUUUGUGAUGGUUAAGAUAAUUGUGCCAGUUUGAUUGACUAGAAGCUGCCCAAGGGGAGGUCAUGGAGGUGUGACCUUGGGCACCAUAUAUGGUCCCUGGUUCCUUUUUCCUUGGCACCAUUCCCUGGCUGUACUUCCUGGCUGCCAUGAACUAAGUGUCUUUGCUCUGUCCUGCCCUUCCACCAUGAUGUAUGUAUUUUGGUACCAGCCAACCAUGAACUGAACUCUCUGACAUCAUGAACCAAAUAAAACCUCUCCUUUAAGUUGUGGGUACCAAGUAUUGCAUCACAAAAAUGGGAAAACUGACUAAUAGAGGACCUUAUCCCCUGUCAUUCCUAUGCAAUUGGAAGUAACAAUUGACAUUGCACUGUUACUUCCUCUGCCUCAGGGCCUUUGCACAGGCUGCCCUUUGUGUUUGGGAGUCUCUUCUCUCCAGAGAUUUGCUCCCAUACCUCCCCUGUGGCUCUGCUCAAAUGUUAUCUUAUCAGUUAGUCUAAAGAUAUAAAUUGUGUUUAAAAGGGCAUCCCCCAUCCCCAGUCUUGCGAGUCCUAUUCCUACCCUUAAAGCAUCAUUUUGUAACCAGUUUUGCCUAAAAUGGGUUGCUGCAUGCCACAUACUUCGUAUCCCAAUAUAAAGAAGCUCCAUGAGGGCAGACAAAUUUGUGUUUUGUUUAUUCACUAUGGUAAUCCAGCCCCCGAGUACAAGACCUGCCAAGAGUAUGAGGCCAAUUAAUUUAUGUUGAUUUAAUAGGCUGAAAUUUACCCCAAGCUUAUGACCUCGUGGGUGUAGCAUCAAAGAAAUCUUCAAGGGACAAGGGAUUUCUUUUUCUUGAAAAGCUUUGUGUGAAUUCAAAGCCUCCUGCUACCGCCUCUCAGCUGCCAUGGAUACAGGUUUCUUAAAGGGGUCAAGGAUGCCACAGAUGCUUUACAUUAGCUUUUAUGUGCUCCAUAAAAUUAACAACAAGCAAACCUGGAAUAAUGGAGCUGUAACUCUGCCUUGCAAUUCUGAUCCGUUACAGACUGUAAGAGCUUGGCUCUGGAGGCUGGAAGCUGUUUCCAGAGCCCGCAAUGGAAUUAUAGCUCUGUAAUUCAUUUACUCUUAUUCGUUUUAUAUAUGUUUACAGAUGGAGUAAAAAAAAAAAUCACACAGCCAGCAAAACCAAAGAAGAAAAGAUACCUAGUAGUUUUCAUUUUUAAAUUAUAAUCAUUAUGUAAGAUACAACAUUUUACCACACUAUAGCUCUUCUAAGCUAAAUAAGAAAUAACAGCCAAGUAAACAUAAUAAGAUAGCUUCUUUAAAGAAUGAAUAUUACCUUGCUCUGUCUUCAAGGAUGUUAUUUUCAAUAGCAGUAUCAAUUCACAAAGAGAAGUCAAGAGAAUAGUUAUGGAUUUUUAGCCAGUGGGACUGAUGUAUGUAAAUAAGAGCAGAGAAAGUAUUGGGUAAUAACCUUGAAAGGCCUCCCACAGCAGGUUUCAACUACACAAACAAUGAUAAUCUGUGAGCUUUCAUCAUCUAUGUCCACCCAAGUUUCUAAUGAAAUAAACUUCAUGGAAAAUAAACAAGAAUACACAUAGGCUCAAAGAGACCUGGCUAAUGCCAGAUCUGUCUUUUGUGUUUAUUUAAAACCAAAAAAAAUUUUUUUUCCAAGAUGGGAUCUUGCUGUGUUACACGGGCUGGCCCCUAGCUCCUAGGCUCAGGGAGCCUCCUGCCUCAGCCUUCUCUACAGGCAGGCUCCAGAAUGCCCAGCUCUGUCUGAAAUUACCAAGUGCUCAGGCUGGGCAUGUGACCUGUACCUGCAGUCACAGCUACUUGAAAGGGCAAGGUAAAAGAAUGGCUUUAGCCCAGGAGUUUGACAUCAGCCUGGGCAGCGUAAUGAGACUCUGUCUCUCAUCCAUCAGUAAAAUAAUUCCAAAUAUUCAAAAGUGGUUUCUUAGAAAAAACCAUUGAGAGGAAAUGACACUUCCACUGCACCAGCUAAAACCUGGGUAAUGAUAAGAUACAUCCUUUCCUCAACCAAAAGGCGAUCGUUUGUUUUUUUCUUUUCUUUUCUUUUCUUUUUUUUUUUUUUUUUUUUGAGAAGGAACAUUAAGGACCUGCAGCUUCUCUUUGUGUGAUUUCAAUCCGUGAGACCCUCGGCAUCCUCUUCUACAGCCUAUUUCAUGAGCAAACUGCUGAGCAGCCCCCGGAGGGUGUGUAUAGGAUUUUACAAAUGUUUUUCCUGUUCCAAUCAGAUAUGACCUUUCAAAUGAAUAAUACAGUACAUAAGAAAACUCCCCACAAGAUUUCUAGAAAAAUUUGGCAAAUUCAAUUCACAAACACUUUUAGGUGCCUAUUAUGUGUGGAUCAUAAUUCUAGGUACCAAGACUACAACUGUAAACAAAACGGACCAAACACCCUUGCCUUCAUGAAGCUUCUGGGUUAGGCGUGGGGUGCAGACAAUAAGCAAAGUCACAAAUGCUUCAGGUGGUAACUGCUGUGCACUGCGGAGGAAAAUCAAGUGAGGCUGUGCCAGGGAAGGUGAGUGAGGUGCAGCUCCCUAAGGAAUUAGGGCUGCCCCCAUUGGGAAGAACACACAUAAGCAAAGACUUGAAGGAAGCCAAUACUAGAAGAACUUUCCCAGCAGCGGGGACUUCAAACGCAAAGAACCUGUAGUGAAGGCAUGCCUGGCAUGGGAGGAGAGCACGAGGGGGCAAGGAGGGACCAGUGGAGGAGGUCCAUUGUACAGCAACUCUGGCUUUCCCCCAGUAAGAACCAUGGGAUGGUGUAGUAAUGUGUUAUGAUCAAGGUUUCCAGAGCAUCCCUCUGGCUGUUUUGAUGAGAGUUGGUACGGUGGGCUGAGAGGCAAAAGUAGAGAAAGGGAGACCCGUUAGGAGGCUACCAUAUUGAUGCAGGCAGAAGAGGGUUGCUAGAUGGUAAUCAGUCAUGGAGCUCACAUAGCCUGGUUGAGUUCUGUGUACAUUUUGAAUACAAAUAAAAGAGGAAAGGGACAACAAAUUGAGACACUUCCAAAGAUUCAUGUGACCACUUUAGAGAUGUAUGAUCCUGUCCCAGCUGGGUCCAGGGUCAUGUUACCAGUUUUUCACGGGUACCUGGGAAACUCUUAAAGAAUAGUUCACAGUGGGAUCCUUGAGAGAGUUUCAGAGCCCAUGUGAGAAUUAAACAGCCUCCAGUCAAAGGAAGGUGCGAUGUGCCUGCUCCUCUAUACGCGCAAUGUGGAGAGGGUAGCACCCUGACCCUCGUCUGGUUUUGCUUUCUCACCUGUAACACCAUGCCGGGCACCGUGAGAAUCAGAGCCACACAGUACUAUUUCUGGGCUCUAGCGUUCCCAGGUGAGCUGGAGAGGUACAUGAGGUCAUCUCCUCCUCUUCCUCUGCUCUGCUUUCCUCCUCCUCUUCCGCCUCUGCCAAAAACACCAAGAACGGAUACACGCUGACUCAUGGUCCUGGUGAUGUGAACUCCACAGGGAUUGUGCUUGUUUUUUUCCUCCCUGCAGGCUCCUCCGUCUGCUGUCUAGAGCUUGUUUAUGCAGUGUUCCCCUCAGGAGCCUCGCUGCCUCUGACUCCCUUGUAUAAUUUUUCUCUUGGCCCUAUUUUAGGUAAAAUCCCCAAACCAGACAGGUCCUAGCCCUACAGACCCCAGGAUCAACCCAAGAUUACUUGGGAUCUUCAACUCAGAUGCUGUGAUCCAUCGUCCAGAUCGUUUGGACCUUUUAAUGAGUGAGCUGUCCCAGUGCCUGAGACCUACAGAAGGUCAUUAUCAUUUUGGUUCUUGACACCUUUGAAAUUACAGCUGAGAUUUCUAUAAUGGAGAUCUUGUGUGCCAAGGAAACCUGAGUUUUCCUGUCUACUUAGUUUGCAAAUCGUGCCUUUUUAAGCAUAUGCUGUGGCAGAUGGUAGGUGAUACCGUGGUGUGUUUAGUUAGAUAGGAUCCUUGCUAAGGCUCACGUCCCAUCUGCACUCUCCAGAGGCCAGGACAUUCUGGUACCUAAGAAAUCUAUCAAAACCAAGAAGGCUUUUAAAACAGUAAGAAAUAGUAAGAAUGGUUCUGGGCUGAGUGUCUGCUAAUGAAAAUGCAGAGCUUCUCCUCCCAGAGUGGAAAAAAACCAGCUCUACCCAGGAUCAGCGAUUUUUCCAGGAAGGCUGUCACUGUGAUCUGUGAUGCACUAUCAAGAUGAAAUUGGAACCAAGUGUACUUUAUUCAGGACAUCUGUGAGAUUAAAAAAAAAAAAAAAAAAAAAGGAAGGAAGAAAGAAAGAAAAAGAAAAGAAAAAAUGUAUAUGCUCCUUUUCUAUCUUUGUGACAUUGUUCACAAAGAUGUGAUUUGGCUGUAAAACCAUUUGCACUGUAUCUCAAGGCUAAGGCUGACAAUUCAAAUAAAAGCCUCUCUUCUUCUCUGGUU